AGGGAUAUAGCUCAGUGGUCAAGCACUUGCCUAGUAUGCAUGAGGCCCUGAGUUUAAUCCUCAGUACCGCCC
rnacentral:tRNA from 1 species